rnacentral:lncRNA from 1 species
GGCAUGUGGAGGAACCAAAGGAGAUUUGGGAGCACCAAGGUGGGACCUGGAAGUGGUGGGGGCACCAAGGUGGGACCUGGAGGAUCUGAAGAAGAUUGAGGGGCACCAAGGUGGGACCUGGAGGACCUGGAGAACAUUGAGGGGCACCAAGGUGGGACCUGGAGAAGGUUUGGGGUCACCAAGGUGGGACCUGAUGGACAUUGGGGUCACCAAGGUGGGACCUGGAGAAGGUUUGCGGUCACCA